UGAAUAAUAUUUUCUGUCUAA
rnacentral:piRNA from 1 species